rnacentral:lncRNA from 1 species
AGAGUGCAGAUUUUCGCUCGUAUGUUGUUUUACUUUUAUUUGGUGAUUGAUUUUCACAGGCUUAUCACUGUUAUCGAGUUAUCGCUCGGCGCAAGAUGCAUCUACUGUAACCAAAAUUUCUUGAAUGUUGUUACCAAUCCUAUAGUAAAAGAUUCUUGUUUAAUCGGAUUACGUAAAUCAGAUUACAACGUAAAUAGAUUUGAUUACUGUGCUUGCUGCUAUUGCUGUGAUUCGAGUGUUGGUCAUAUUUCUGCACGCAAUUUCACCUCAUAAAGAGUUAGAUCCUCGACUCACACUUUUGGUGGCGUUUGAUUCUUCACCGUCGCUACAACGUGACAGUAUGAUGUGCACCUAUAGCAUUAUGUGAAGGUUUCGUGGUCAACAAAAUUCGUGAAAGGGUGGUCAAUGUGGUUUGCUGUGAGCAAUGUAAUGUUAUCCCUAGUCAGCCCUAGUGGGUGUUUUUGCUACCCCUAGUGGGUGUAACAUCACAAGUGGUAAAGAAAACGGUGCUAGCAGAUUAUGUUUUUGCUUGCAGGGCAGCGAUAGCAGCACCGAAAACAACUGCACCAGCAGAGGCCUUAGAGGCAGCUGAGGAUGCACAGGACACAAAGACAGAACCAGCGGCAGAGGACCAGCCUGCUGAUGAUACUGCUGACAA